GACUACUGAAGCAUGCUUUUUGCAAAGAUACAAUCCAAAUGACUCAUUUAUUGAUCUUUUUGGGGUUAAAUUUUUAAGUAAUUAGAUACUAAUGUUAUUUGUUUUAAGUUUUUGUGGUACGGUGACUUGGUUUAUAUAUAUUCAUUUGGCAUUACAUGUUAUUAUUUUUCUGUACAAUCUCAUGCUAUCAAACCUUUUUAAGUGGGUAUUAGCCUUUUUCUGCUUCAAAGGCUUGUAGUCCUUUCUUUCUAUGUUACCACUGAUAGUAGGAUAUACAGUCAUUUGAAAUAGGUUCAUCCAACAAUGAGAAUUUUGAUCUGUUUUUGGGUUAUUUAUCUUGUAAUUUUUAUACUCCUCUCAUCUGAUAGUUUAAAAGAAGUGCUUUUGGGUGUUGUUUCGAUUCUGAUCAAAAUAUUGUGACCUUAAUGCAGAAUCAUGGAGCUUGUAAUUUCU
rnacentral:misc_RNA from 1 species